GGGCCUAUAGCUCAGCUGGUUAGAGCGUCCGGCUCAUAACCGGAUGGUCCCUGGUUCGAACCCAGGUGGGCCCA
rnacentral:tRNA from 1 species